rnacentral:rRNA from 1 species
UGGGGAAUCUUGCACAAUGGGGGCAACCCUGAUGCAGCGACGCCGCGUGAGCGAUGAAGCCCUUCGGGGCGUAAAGCUCUUUCGACCGGAACGAUAAUGACGGUACCGGGAGAAGAAGCUGCGGCUAACUACGUGCCAGCAGCCGCGGUAAUACGUAGGCAGCAAGCGUUGUUCGGAGUUACUGGGCGCAAAGAGUGCGUAGGCGGUUUUCUAAGUUCGGUGUGAAAUCUCCCGGCUUAACUGGGAGGGUGCGCCGAAGACCGGGAAGCUGGAGUGUGGGAAAGGCAGGCGGAAUUCCUGGUGUAGCGGUGAAAUGCGUAGAUAUCAGGAGGAACACCGGCGGUGUAGACGGCUUGCUAGACCAUAACUGACGCUGAGGCACGAAAGCGUGGGUAGCAAACA